GAGACACCCUUAUUGAGCAGGACCUGCUUCAGUGGGGCUUUGGUGCUCACUGAGUCUUCUCUUUGAGUGUGUUGCU
rnacentral:pre_miRNA from 1 species